rnacentral:misc_RNA from 1 species
GCUUUGGAGGCCCAACACUCUAUGAGAAUCCAUUAUACAUAUCACCUAACCAGAUUCGAGCAUUGGAGAAAAGACAGAAGGCUGGGAAGUAUGCGACGAAAGUCAAGGCCAAGAAGAGGAGGAAAAUGCAUGAGAUGUCAAAUCCUUUGGAGCCUGAUGAAUUUGCAGACAUGUGGAGGGAAUGAUUGUUCUUGUUUUUCCCCCAAAUCAGUUUUGUUAGUUUACUUAAGCACAUUGUAUCCAGCAUUAAGUUGGCUUAUUUUUCUGUGUUGUUUGCUUGAACAUUGGAAAAUUUCCUUGUUUGAAUGGUAAUUAAAUUAUAAGUUACAGCAACAUCUGUGUUAUGCAGCAA